rnacentral:rRNA from 1 species
CCCUUAGAGUUUGAUCCUGGCUCAAGACGAACGCUGGCGGCGCGCCUAACACAUGCAAGUCGAACGAGCGAGAGAGAGCUUGCUUUCUCGAGCGAGUGGCGAACGGGUGAGUAACGCGUGAGGAACCUGCCUCAAAGAGGGGGACAACAGUUGGAAACGACUGCUAAUACCGCAUAAGCCCACGGUGCCGCAUGGCACAGAGGGAAAAGGAGUAAUCCGCUUUGAGAUGGCCUCGCGUCCGAUUAGCUAGUUGGUGAGGUAACGGCCCACCAAGGCGACGAUCGGUAGCCGGACUGAGAGGUUGAACGGCCACAUUGGGACUGAGACACGGCCCAGACUCCUACGGGAGGCAGCAGUGGGGAAUAUUGCACAAUGGGGGAAACCCUGAUGCAGCGACGCCGCAUGGAGGAAGAAGGUCUUCGGAUUGUAAACUCCUGUUGUUGGGGAAGAUAAUGACGGUACCCAACAAGGAAGUGACGGCUAACUACGUGCCAGCAGCCGCGGUAAAACGUAGGUCACAAGCGUUGUCCGGAAUUACUGGGUGUAAAGGGAGCGCAGGCGGGAAGACAAGUUGGAAGUGAAAUCUAUGGGCUCAACCCAUAAACUGCUUUCAAAACUGUUUUUCUUGAGUAGUGCAGAGGUAGGCGGAAUUCCCGGUGUAGCGGUGGAAUGCGUAGAUAUCGGGAGGAACACCAGUGGCGAAGGCGGCCUACUGGGCACCAACUGACGCUGAGGCUCGAAAGUGUGGGUAGCAAACAGGAUUAGAUACCCUGGUAGUCCACACCGUAAACGAUGAUUACUAGGUGUUGGAGGAUUGACCCCUUCAGUGCCGCAGUUAACACAAUAAGUAAUCCACCUGGGGAGUACGACCGCAAGGUUGAAACUCAAAGGAAUUGACGGGGGCCCGCACAAGCAGUGGAGUAUGUGGUUUAAUUCGACGCAACGCGAAGAACCUUACCAAGUCUUGACAUCCCUUGACAGGCAUAGAAAUAUGUUUUCUCUUCGGAGCAAGGAGACAGGUGGUGCAUGGUUGUCGUCAGCUCGUGUCGUGAGAUGUUGGGUUAAGUCCCGCAACGAGCGCAACCCUUAUGGUCAGUUACUACGCAAGAGGACUCUGGCCAGACUGCCGUUGACAAAACGGAGGAAGGUGGGGAUGACGUCAAAUCAUCAUGCCCUUUAUGACUUGGGCUACACACGUACUACAAUGGCGUUAAACAAAGAGAAGCAAGACCGCGAGGUGGAGCAAAACUCAGAAACAACGUCCCAGUUCGGACUGCAGGCUGCAACUCGCCUGCACGAAGUCGGAAUUGCUAGUAAUCGUGGAUCAGCAUGCCACGGUGAAUACGUUCCCGGGCCUUGUACUAAGGGCCCGUC